UGUUUUGACAGUUCUCUUACGUCAAAAAUUUUGACCUACGUAAUAUCGCUUUUGUAGUAAAAAUACUAUAUCAAACACAACUUGUAUGCUUAAUUCAAAAUAAAGCACUAACCUUUAAAAACGUUUUUUCUCGAUUUCGGUAUUUCGACAUUUAUCUGGUUUUCGUAGUAUACCGACGAUAUACUUGCUAACUAGCUCCAGAACCAAACAAUGGUUGUACUUAUAAUUCAAUCUACAUUAUAGUAUUGUAAAAUUGAAAAGGCUAAACGCCGAUGAUAAAAGAUUAUCUCCAGGAACAUGGUGAAACUCUAAACGAGAACCCUAGAGUUUCACCGAGAACCCACUUAGAGUUUCAUCAUGUUACCGGAGAUAAUAUUUUAACAUCAGCGUUUAGCCUUUUCAAUUUUACAAUACUAUAAUGUACAUUGAAUUAUAAGUACAACCAUUGUUUGGUUAUGGGGCUAGUUAGCAAGUAUUAGGCAAUCCAAACCACGUGACCUCUGGUUGGCACACAAACUAACAAAGAGGUUAUGUUUGUAUCUAUUUUUCAAUGAUUUUUCAUUGUUUAUCGUCGUAUUUUGUCUAUUUUGGAUGCAUUUGGAUUUCGUUUCCUGUUUUUGUCAACUUUAUAAACUUUACCACAAUGCAAACUGAUUAUUUAAGGAAAUUAUUAUUGGAAACUCCAGAUGUUGCGAGAAAGAUAUUUAUUGAAGCUGAAAAUAAUUGGGGAUUUAGAUCCAUACGCAAUUCAGUCAGAAUUGGAUUUUACAGUAAAGUGCAGACCAUUAAGUUACUAUUAUAGAUAUUUAUACAUAUCUGGUGGAAUCUCGGAGUUGCUACUCUAAGCAGCAGAUGAAAGCAUACAAAAGCCUUCAGGCACAUAAAUAUUUUACAGCUGGAUUUGUUUUGAAUGGAGUAAAAAUUGUUAAUGAUUUCCUGAUUUCCAUAUUAUUGUUGAAAAGGUGAAGCAUUUCCAAAAAUCUAAUGCUAAACGACUAAAUGCUUGGGUGGGGUGAUAGCCAGUUCUGAUGACAUAGCAAAUGCAGAUUGUAUGUGUUGGCUGGUAAUAGUGAAGUCUGCAGCAAUCCUAUUUUUAGCUGAGUAUGCCCAGGGCAAGACAGACGAAGAAGAACCCAAUGCAUGUACAUAUGUUACAGCUACAUGGUUUGGAGAUAGCAACAUACGCAUUCUCUGAUGAAAAACUAAUGAGUUUUGAAACUGUUCGGUCAGAGUGCUUCUUGUGCUCACUAAACGAACUGAAAUAUAAGAUGGCUUGGGCAUUGUGUUGCAGCGAUAUGAAAAUGGUUAUUCAUUUUUAAUUAUAAUGUACUUCUUCAUCAUGAGUAAUUAUGUAUUGGUCUUUUAAAUGUGUAUUUAUUUUUGUAAUUAGUAUCAACUUGUAAUGAUAAUAUACAUUUAUCGUUUAAGGUAUGACUAUGUUUUGACUCUAAAAUAAAUGAUUUAAAAAUCGAAUCCUGCCUCUUUCUGUUAGUAACUACCCAUGGAUAUCACAAAUAGUGAUUACUGAUAGGUUUGUUCUUAGAAUGAUCAGCAACUCUUGCCAACCAUCAGACACAUGUGCAUUCGUAGUCUAUGAAUGCUAACUAUUAACUGCUCAUGCAUCUGAUGGUUGGCAGCAGUUGCUAAUCGUUUGUGUCGUACUACGAACAAACCUAUUAGGCCUGGAUCCCAUGUACCAAAAAAAUUGAUUAAUAGCAAGCUGAAAAUUUGUUAAUAGCUUAACGGUGUCCAGUUGGACAAACUUUGAUGUAUUGUGACACUGAAACAGGGAUAGUUUUAAUUGUGAAACAGUUUGGAAACUCAGAUUACAAAAACAUCCCAUAUAUUUCGUCGGACAGAACAUUCAAUUGAUUUGUUAUCCUUUCAUUAAAUUCUCAUGCAAAAAUCAGACUGCUUUUACUAACCAACAUGAUUCCUGUAGUUUGAUAUGGUCUUCGUGUUCUACUCAUUAAAAUGCCUAGUUGGUGAUUUUUUCACCAGUCUGGUUUUUGCAUGAGAAUUUAAUGAAUUGGUAGCAAAUCAAUUGGAAGUUUUAUCUGACAAAUUACAUAAACAUUUUCGUAGUUUGACGUUCCAAAUUUUUAACCUGUCCCACAGUUAAAACUUCCAGUGUUCCCGUACAUCAAAGUUUGUCGGACUAGACACCGUUAAGCUAUUAAUAAAUUUUCAGCUUGCUAUUAAUCAACUUUUUUUGGUACACAGGAUCCAGGUCUAUAUGGAAUAAAUAAAUAACAAAACAAAUUCCCUGUCAAAACUGCAUUUAUUUUGAAUAGAAUGAAAAACAAAAUAAUAUUGUUUUAACAAAAUAGGGGAUAAAUGUUAAAAUUUAGUAUUAAUAAAGUUUGUCACAUUGGCCUAAAAAUUAAUGUCACUAGUUACGUUAGUGUCACAUAUAAAUAAUUGUAAUAAUAUUAAUAAAAACCAUAAUUCCUAGCAUAAGUGCGUCCUGUUUUUUGAUAAUUUAGUUAGGCGAGGAAACAUAAAUGAGUUUCUAAUAGGGCUUUUCAUCGAUUGUCAUUUGUUUCAAGCUUCUGUUAGAUGUUGUAUAAUCCGUGUAUAAUAUUACUAUACACGGAUUAUAUGACAUAUGACAGAAGCUCAAAACAAAUGACUGUGAAUGAAAAGCCCUAUAGAGGGAACACGAAAAAAAUUAAUAUUAACCGAUCAGCUUGACUUCCACAGUUCCCUACUAUACAAGUUACAGGCAUGUUUUCAGCACUUAAAAUCACCAAAAACGAAAAGUUUAUAAAAUAAUUAAUCUAAUGAAUGUCUUUAAAUACUAUAUUAAGCUCAAAAUCACGACAAAAAACAAAUUAAAAUUAACAUUAUUCUGAACAGUUGGACUUCCACAGUUCACUACUAUACAAGUCACAGGCAUGUUGUCAGCACUCAAAAUCAUCAAAAACGUAAAGUUUAUAAAAUAAUUAAUCUAAUGAAUGUCUUUAAAUACUAUAUUAAGCUCAAAA